rnacentral:rRNA from 1 species
AGGGGUUUGCGUCUGAUUAGCUGGUUGGAGGGGUAACGGCCCACCCAAGGCGACGAUCAGUAGCCGGUCUGAGAGGAUGAACGGCCACACUGGAACUGAGACACGGUCCAGACUCCUACGGGAGGCAGCAUG